rnacentral:rRNA from 1 species
UGCGCAGGCGGGUUUGUAAGUCAGUGGUGAAAUCCUGCCGCUUAACGGUAGAAUUGCCAUUGAUACUGCGAAUCUUGAGUAUGGUUGAGGUAGGCGGAAUGUGUAGUGUAGCGGUGAAAUGCAUAGAUAUUACACAGAACUCCGAUUGCGAAGGCAGCUUACUAAGCCAUAACUGACGCUGAGGCACGAAAGCGUGGGGAGCGAACAGGAUUAGAUACUCUGGUAGUCC